AUUGAACGCUGGCGGCAGGCUUAACACAUGCAAGUCGAGCGGGGAAGAGUAGCUUGCUACUUGACCUAGCGGCGGACGGGUGAGUAAUGCUUAGGAAUCUGCCUAUUAGUGGGGGACAACAUCUCGAAAGGGAUGCUAAUACCGCAUACGUCCUACGGGAGAAAGCAGGGGACCUUCGGGCCUUGCGCUAAUAUAUGAGCCUAAGUCGGAUUAGCUAGUUGGUGGGGUAAAGGCCUACCAAGGCGACGAUCUGUAGCGGGUCUGAGAGGAUGAUCCGCCACACUGGGACUGAGACACGGCCCAGACUCCUACGGGAGGCAGCAGUGGGGAAUAUUGGACAAUGGGGGGAACCCUGAUCCAGCCAUGCCGCGUGUGUGAAGAAGGCCUUUUGGUUGUAAAGCACUUUAAGCGAGGAGGAGGCUACCGAGAUUAAUACUCUUGGAUAGUGGACGUUACUCGCAGAAUAAGCACCGGCUAACUCUGUG
rnacentral:rRNA from 1 species